rnacentral:rRNA from 1 species
GAUCAUGGCUCAGGAUGAACGCUAGCGACAGGCUUAACACAUGCAAGUCGAGGGGCAGCAUGAUUUGUAGUAAUACAGAUUGAUGGCGACCGGCGCACGGGUGAGUAACGCGUAUGCAACUUACCUAUCAGAGGGGGACAGCCCGGCGAAAGUCGGAUUAAUACCACAUAAAACAGGGGUCCCGCAUGGGAAUAUUUGUUAAAGAUUCAUCGCUGAUAGAUAGGC